ACGAGUCAUCCCCAGUGCACUGGUCUUCCCGAAUAAACCUCUUGCAGUUUGCAUCAAGACUGUUAAGACUGUUUCUCGUUGCCAAAGGAUCCGAGAAGGUGAAGACUUCCUGGAUUCUCUUCACUUGAUGAACUUGUUGCAGUCUUGCAGUUUUUCUCCUUUCUCUGAACCAGCAGCUCCAAAGAGCAGCUUGCAUAAUGUGCAAGGAGAUAUUCUCCAAGGAGCAGUUUGUACACACAGCCACUAAGCAUGCAGACGAGUCCACACAUUUCCCUGAGAUAGAACCUUCUCUGAUGAUGGCUAAGCAAGAUGCCAAUUGAGUUGUUGGCCACCAUGGAAACUCAAACUACUCAGGCCACUGACAAGACUAUUGGUUGCUCUUUACAAACUGAUGAACUGUUGGGACAAAAAUGGAGAAGAGAUUGAAGACAGGAGCCUCGCAUGGCUGGCCUCUGAGAGGCUCUACCAGUAGCUGACUGAGAUGGGCACAGAAACUUUCACCAACCACUGGACUGAAGUCAAGGACCCCUAUGGCUGAAUUAGGAGGUCUGAAGAAGCUGAAGGGGAGGAUGAUCCCAUAGGAAGACCAGCAGUCUCAACCCCAGGGAGCUCUUAGAGACUGAGCCACCCACCAGUCACUGUACUUGGGCUAGCAGAAUACUGCUUGGUUUGGCCUCAGUGGGAGAAGAGGCUGCAGGGAAGGGGGUGACCUGGUGGGGGGGAGAAACACCCUCUAGGAGGCAAGGGGGAGGAGGAGUGUGUUGAGGAACUGUGGAAAGAAGAACUCAGACGGGGGAACAACGGCUGGAAUGUAAAUAAAUAAAAUACUUUUUAAAAAUUGACAUCAUGAAAUUUUCAGGCAAAUGGCUCUAGAAAAAAAUCUUCCUGGGUGAGGUAACCCACACCCAGAAAGAUCAUUCAUUUAUAGGUGGAUAUUAUCCAUUAAAUAAAUGAUAACCAAGCUACAAUCUAUAGACCCAGAGAGGUUAGGUAAAGAGAACGAGUUUAGAGGAAUUCAGGAACCUGCCUGGGAGGGGGAAAUUCAAUAGAUUUUUGUGGCAGACUGUGGGCAGGUGGUGAUGGGAGUGGGAGGAAUCAGGUGAAGGGAAGUUGGGGUAGAGGGGAAGAGUAUGAAGAGAGAUGGCAGCUAUUGGGGGUGGAAUUUGGAAGAUGAUAUGAAAACCUAGUACAGUAGAAACUUCCUGGAAUUUAUGAAGGUGAAUGUAAUGAGAACUCCUAGUAAUGAGGGAUAUGGACUCUCAACAAGCCUUCUCUUGUUGUCAAGUAAGGUUUCUAGUGUUGGAACUAGGUUGCAGUGAGUUGAGUUGUUGGUCAAGGGAGUGUCAUAAAAAUCCCCAAACAAAACUGCUAUUGCUAAGACAAAGACAGUCUUCAAACUGACAGCAGGGACCCCAAUGCUGAGCACAACACCCACACAAUUCACUGAACAUGGAAAAGUAGAGCUGGUUCCUACAUGAAGCCUUCGCCUCAAUAUUCUAUGUCUGUGGUAUUGGACAGUACUCUGGCAGACUACCAAUAGAGAAACAUGGACACCAACCCAGACACAAAACCUUUGACCUAAAAGUCUGUAGGAUACAGGAAUACCCUUAGUGCACACCUUUAAUCCCAAACAAUGAAAGUAAGGUGAGUUUAUAGAAAGAAGCAGCCAUGUUUGAAAGUGACAUUGAAUUGAUGGGCAGACAAAGUGACAAGUCAGAGAAAGAUUUGACAGAAUAAAUGAGAAUAAACCCAACUUUUAUGAGAGCACACAGAAAAGAGAGGGUAGACACAGGUAGUGGUGAUGUGUAUGUAUGGCAGGUUUUACUGGGACAGUUUUAUAGAGACAGGUUGCAGGUAAAGACAGAAUAGGGCAGAAAAUGAGAAAAAAAAUCAGAAGAUUAGAACAGAAUGCCUGAGUUAGUUUGAGGGCAAGCAGAGCAAUUCAGCCACAAGCCAAGUUUUUAUCAGUCAGGAGAGGAGUUUUGAGCAAGAACAGCUGAGUUCAGAGUUCAGAAAGAACUAGAAAGGGCACUCUUAUUCAACGUUAAACCUCUGAGAUGACAAUCACAUUGGGUGAAUAAAAGUUACUUUUACAACAAUCUAUAUUGCCUGCAAAAUAUGCUAGGACAAUGGUGGCACAGAACUUGUAGGUGUGGCCAACUAAUGUCUGAUUUGACCUACAGCCCACUCCAUGAGAUGGGACCUAUACCUGACAAUGCUUGGGCAACAAAGAACUAGAGAUUAGAUAACACAAAGACCUAUGGUGAAACCAAACAUUGUUGGUAUAAAGUAACUCAAUAAAAUGAUAUUUGGCUAUACUCAUAGACCAGUGCCUUUUCAAGUCAUCCUCAGAACUGCUUUCUCCAGCAGCAGAUGGGUACAGAUGCAGAGACCCAUGGCCAGACAUUAUGUGAACAGAGAGUCUAACUUGGAGGUUUCCAUCAAAUCCCUGCCCUCAGAGAUCAGGGAAUCUUUCAGAAAAGGUGGCAGAAAGAUUGCAAGUACCAGGGGGAUGGAAGAUACCAGGAGAAUAAGGCCCUCUGAAUUAACUAAGCAAGGCACAUAUGAUCUUAAAGAGAUUCAAGCAGCAAACACUGGGCUGACAUGGGUCUGUACGAGGUCCUCUGCAUAUAUAUUAUAUCUAAUAACUUAGCUUUUGUAUGUAACUCCUGACUGUGAGAACAAAUAUGUCUCUGCUCUUAGGACUCUUUUCCUCCUCUGGGUUGCUGUGUUCAGCUUUGAUAUGAUAGCUUUUGCUUCAUCUUAUUAUAGAUUAUUUUGUUUUGUUAGGUUGCUAUCUCUUAGAAGUCUCUUUUUUUCUAUUGACAAUAAAGGAGUGGAUUUGGAAAACAGGGGAGGUGGGCAGGAACUGGGAGCAAUAGGAGAAAAAAACUAUAAGGAGGAUAUAUUGUAUGGGAAAAGGAUCUAUUUUUAAAUAAAAGUAAAAAUAUAUGAAAAAUAAAUUCAUUAGGUCAAAUAUAACAAAAGG
rnacentral:lncRNA from 1 species